rnacentral:tRNA from 1 species
UCCCCAAGUGGCGGAAUAGGUAGACGCAUUGGACUUAAAAUCCAACGGGCUUAAUAUCCUGUGCCGGUUCAAGUCCGGCCUUGGGGACCAU